UUUAAAGAGAGUUUGAUCCUGGCUCAGGACGAACGCUGGCGGCGUGCCUAAUACAUGCAAGUCGAACGAACGGAGGAAGAGCUUGCUCUUCCAAAGUUAGUGGCGGACGGGUGAGUAACACGUGGGCAACCUGCCUGUAAGUUGGGGAUAACUCCGGGAAACCGGGGCUAAUACCGAAUGAUAAAGUGUGGCGCAUGCCACGCUUUUGAAAGAUGGUUUCGGCUAUCGCUUACAGAUGGGCCCGCGGUGCAUUAGCUAGUUGGUAGGGUAAUGGCCUACCAAGGCAACGAUGCAUAGCCGACCUGAGAGGGUGAUCGGCCACACUGGGACUGAGACACGGCCCAGACUCCUACGGGAGGCAGCAGUAGGGAAUCUUCCGCAAUGGACGAAAGUCUGACGGAGCAACGCCGCGUGUAUGAAGAAGGUUUUCGGAUCGUAAAGUACUGUUGUUAGAGAAGAACAAGGAUAAGAGUAACUGCUUGUCCCUUGACGGUAUCUAACCAGAAAGCCACGGCUAACUACGUGCCAGCAGCCGCGGUAAUACGUAGGUGGCAAGCGUUGUCCGGAUUUAUUGGGCGUAAAGCGCGCGCAGGCGGUCUUUUAAGU
rnacentral:rRNA from 1 species